rnacentral:rRNA from 1 species
AUUGAACGCUGGCGGCAGGCCUAACACAUGCAAGUCGGGCGGUAACACGGGGAGCUUGCUCCCGGGUGACGAGCGGCGGACGGGUGAGUAAUGUCUGGGAAACUGCCUGAUGGAGGGGGAUAACUACUGGAAACGGUAGCUAAUACCGCAUAACGUCGCAAGACCAAAGAGGGGGGACCUUCGGGCCUCUUGCCAUCAGAUGUGCCCAGAUGGGAUUAGCUAGUAGGUGGGGUAACGGCUCACCUAGGCGACGAUCCCUAGCUGGUCUGAGGGGAUGACCAGCCACACUGGAACUGAGACACGGUCCAGACUCCUACGGGAGGCAGCAGUGGGGAAUAUUGCACAAUGGGCGCAAGCCUGAUGCAGCCAUGCCGCGUGUAUGAAGAAGGCCUUGGGUUCGUAAGGUACUUUCAGCGGGGAGGAGGUAGUUGUGGUAUAACACAGCAA